AUUGAACGCUGGCGGCAUGCCUUACACAUGCAAGUCGAACGGCAGCGGACCUUCGGGUGCCGGCGAGUGGCGAACGGGUGAGUAAUAUAUCGGAACGUACCUUUCAGUGGGGGAUAACGUAGCGAAAGUUACGCUAAUACCGCAUAUUCUGUGAGCAGGAAAGCAGGGGAUCGCAAGACCUUGCGCUGAUUGAGCGGCCGAUAUCAGAUUAGCUAGUUGGUGAGGUAAAGGCUCACCAAGGCGACGAUCUGUAGCGGGUCUGAGAGGAUGAUCCGCCACACUGGAACUGAGACACGGUCCAGACUCCUACGGGAGGCAGCAGUGGGGAAUUUUGGACAAUGGGCGGAAGCCUGAUCCAGCCAUGCCGCGUGGGUGAAGAAGGCCUCGG
rnacentral:rRNA from 1 species